GAUGAACGCUGGCUACAGGCUUAACACAUGCAAGUCGAGGGGAAACGACGGGGAAGCUUGCUUCCCCGGGCGUCGACCGGCGCACGGGUGAGUAACGCGUAUCCAACCUGCCUCUGACUGAGGGAUAACCCGUCGAAAGUCGGCCUAAUACCUCAUGGUAUCGUCUGCGGGCAUCCAACGACGAUUAAAGAUUUCAUCGGUCAGGGAUGGGGAUGCGUCUGAUUAGCUUGUUGGCGGGGUAACGGCCCACCAAGGCUACGACCAGUAGGGGUUCUGAGAGGAAGGUCCCCCACAUUGGAACUGAGACACGGUCCAAACUCCUACGGGAGGCAGCAGUGAGGAAUAUUGGUCAAUGGGCGAGAGCCUGAACCAGCCAAGUAGCGUGCAGGAAGACGGCCCUAUGGGUUGUAAACUGCUUUUAUGCGGGGAUAAAGUGAGGGACGUGUCCCUCAUUGCAGGUACCGCAUGAAUAAGGACCGGCUAAUUCCGUGCCAGCAGCCGCGGUAAUACGGAAGGUCCUGGCGUUAUCCGGAUUUAUUGGGUUUAAAGGGAGCGUAGGCCGUGGAUUAAGCGUGUUGUGAAAUGCAGGUGCUCAACGUCUGCACUGCAGCGCGAACUGGUCCACUUGAGUGCGCGCAACGCAGGCGGAAUUCGUCGUGUAGCGGUGAAAUGCUUAGAUAUGACGAAGAACUCCGAUUGCGAAGGCAGCUUGCGGGAGCACAACUGACGCUGAAGCUCGAAAGUGCGGGUAUCGAUCAGG
rnacentral:rRNA from 1 species